ACAGGUACACCCUGGUGAAAAACAAAUAUACUUUAUUGUAUUUCAAGUAUAUUUAACUUUGCAAUAGUACAUUACAAAUAUACUUACAAAGGAAUGUACUUUCUUUAAACAUAUUUAAAGUAUGCUUACAACAUAUUUGCGCGUAUUUUUUACAAUUAAACUUUUAACAUACUUCAAAAUAAUUAUACUUUAGUAUAUUUUCUAAAAGUAUACUUUAGAAAAAUAUACUUAAAGUUAAAGUUUUGUGCAAUUUUUAAAGUAUACUAAAUUUAAACUUAUUUUAAAAUGUAUUUUAGGUAUACUUUAUCGGUAUGCUUAAAGUUAUCAUUAUAAUAAUGCACUGACAGUAUAUUUCUAAAAUACAUUAUUUAGUAUUCUUUAGAAACAGUAUAUUUUAAGCACAUUUUGAAAGUAUAUGGGGUGUACAAAUGUAUAUUAUUUUAUGGAGAAAUAACGUGGGCUUAAAAUUACGAGAGAGCAGUAUGUUCUGUUACAUUUUAUAUUGUAGAUGUAUACAUUUGUAAUAUACUAUUAACAUAAUAAGGUACACUUUAACUUCACUAAUAGUCAAGCAUUGGAUAAACCAAUGAACUGUAUUUUACCACAAAAUAACCAUGGUUUUGCUAAUAAUAAUCAAUACACCAAAAAAAACAUGGUUACUAAACUUUUACCACAAAAAAAAAAAACAUUCAUUUUCGUAAGGGGAAUAUGAGUGUUUGUUUUUUUGUAGUUUUUGAGUCAAUUGCAUACCGCUUUUAGCUGUACACAUUAAUUAACUUAAACAGUUUUCGUAAAUGCAUUUCAGAGAAAAGUGAAUUCUGAGAUUUGAAUAAUGCAUCUGACGUGUGGGAUGACGUCACGACGCACGUAUUUUGAUUUUUACCAGUCGUUCAAGACAGACGGAUUCAGUCCCAAGAAGCUAAAGUUUUUCAAAGACAUUUGUAGGGAGGACUUUGCAGCUAAUGGUAAGUCAUUUUAAACUCUUAAGAUAUAAUAAUUCAUUCGUAGUAGUAAAUCAAGCUUCAGUUUAGAUAACGUUAUAUACAUAUUGAGGCGGUUUCCCGGACAGGGAUUAGACUAGUCCUAGACUAAAAUAAAUGUAAGAGCUGUCCAAACUGAAAACAACUUGCACUGACAUAUCUUAAAAUACACCAGUGUCCUUUGUUUUGCCUCAAAAUGCACACAGGUAAUGUUUUUAUUAAGGCAUGUUUUUUGAAACUAGUUAUAUUUCUUAAUUAAACUAAGGCCUAGUCCUGUUUUAAGCUAAUCCCUUUACAGGAAACCACCCAAUUGUCUGCUUGUUGCAUUUUCUUUCUGACAAGUUUUACAUUUAAAUUUAAUACAAUAAAAUCUUUCUUUAGGAGCUGAAGUAUUUUAUGUAAGGAGGAUUUUGCAGUCCAUAUAGGCAAGUCAUUAUAAUGAAAACUCUUAGGGGUGGUUUCCCGGACAGGGAUUAGCUUUAUCCAGGACUAGACCUUAGUUUAAUUAGGAUAGUUUUAACAAACAUGCCUUACUAAAAACAUUACUUAUGUGCAUUACGAUGUAAAACAAAGGGCACUGAUGUAUUUUAAGAUAUGUCAGAGCAAGUUGUUUUCAGUUUGGACAGCUCUUACAUUUAUUUUAGUCUAGGACUAGUCUAAUUCCUGUCUGGGAAACCGCCCCUUAAUAUAUAUGAUGACAUUUUAGUCAAGCUCUAGUUUAGGUAAAAAUAUAUCUGCUAUACAAUCUCUGCCAGUAAACUAUAGAUUUAAUACAGUAAGUCUUAAAUAAAUGUAAUGUUUUAAUAUUAAACACUUUUUAAUUGAGCUUAUUGUCUAUCUUUUUCAGAUUUCCUUAGGCUGAACCAAAACCUGCCAGACUAAAGUUGAUUUGGGAGAGAAAGACGUUGUAAACUUAAUCGUCUUGACAUUCUUCAAUGAGUAAUUGUUCAAUUUUUAGGCAAAUACUGUACACUUUGAAUGCUGUGAAUAAAACUAUAUUUUAAAUAUAUUUAAAA